GAUUAACGCUGGCGGCGUGCCUAACACAUGCAAGUCGAACGAGGUAGCAAUACCUAGUGGCAGACGGGUGAGUAACACGUGGUCAACCUACCUUCGAGUGGGGGAUAACUAGCCGAAAGGUUAGCUAAUACCGCAUGACACCGAUCGAGGCAUCUCGGACGGUUGAAAGGAGCAAUUCGCUUGAAGACGGGACCGCGUCCCAUUAGCUCGUUGGUGGGGUAAUGGCCUACCAAGGCUCCGAUGGGUAGCUGGUUUGAGAGAGCGACCAGCCACACUG
rnacentral:rRNA from 1 species